AUUGAACGCUGGCGGCAGGCCUAACACAUGCAAGUCGAACGGUAACAGAAAGCAGCUUGCUGCUUUGCUGACGAGUGGCGGACGGGUGAGUAAUGUCUGGGAAACUGCCUGAUGGAGGGGGAUAACUACUGGAAACGGUAGCUAAUACCGCAUAACGUCGCAAGACCAAAGAGGGGGACCUUCGGGCCUCUUGCCAUCGGAUGUGCCCAGAUGGGAUUAGCUAGUAGGUGGGGUAAAGGCUCACCUAGGCGACGAUCCCUAGCUGGUCUGAGAGGAUAACCAGCCACACUGGAACUGAGACACGGUCCAGACUCCUACGGGAGGCAGCAGUGGGGAAUAUUGCACAAUGGGCGCAAGCCUGAUGCAGCCAUGCCGCGUAUGAAGAAGGCCUUCGGGUUGUAAAGUACUUUCAGCGGGGAGGAAGGGAGUAAAGUUAAUACCUUUGCUCAUUGACGUUACCCGCAGAAGAAGCACCGGCUAACUCCGUG
rnacentral:rRNA from 1 species